rnacentral:rRNA from 1 species
CCUGGCUCACGAUUAGCGCUAGCUACAGGCUUAACACAUGCAAGUCGAGGGGCAGCAUGGUCUUAGCUUGCUAAGGCCGAUGGCGACCGGCGCACGGGUGAGUAACACGUAUCCAACCUGCCGUCUACUCUUGGACAGCCUUCUGAAAGGAAGAUUAAUACAAGAUGGCAUCAUGAGUCCGCAUGUUCACAUGAUUAAAGGUAUUCCGGUAGACGAUGGGGAUGCGUUCCAUUAGAUAGUAGGCGGGGUAACGGCCCACCUAGUCUUCGAUGGAUAGGGGUUCUGAGAGGAAGGUCCCCCACAUUGGAACUGAGACACGGUCCAAACUCCUACGGGAGGCAGCAGUGAGGAAUAUUGGUCAAUGGGCGAGAGCCUGAACCAGCCAAGUAGCGUGAAGGAUGACUGCCCUAUGGGUUGUAAACUUCUUUUAUAAAGGAAUAAAGUCGGGUAUGGAUACCCGUUUGCAUGUACUUUAUGAAUAAGGAUCGGCUAACUCCGUGCCAGCAGCCGCGGUAAUACGGAGGAUCCGAGCGUUAUCCGGAUUUAUUGGGUUUAAAGGGAGCGUAGAUGGAUGUUUAAGUCAGUUGUGAAAGUUUGCGGCUCAACCGUAAAAUUGCAGUUGAUACUGGAUAUCUUGAGUGCAGUUGAGGCAGGCGGAAUUCGUGGUGUAGCGGUGAAAUGCUUAGAUAUCACGAGGAACUCCGAUUGCGAAGGCAGCCUGCUAAGCUGCAACUGACAUUGAGGCUCGAAAGUGUGGGUAUCAAACAGGAUUAGAUACCCUGGUAGUCCACACGGUAAACGAUGAAUACUCGCUGUUUGCGAUAUACAGCAAGCGGCCAAGCGAAAGCGUUAAGUAUUCCACCUGGGGAGUACGCCGGCAACGGUGAAACUCAAAGGAAUUGACGGGGGCCCGCACAAGCGGAGGAACAUGUGGUUUAAUUCGAUGAUACGCGAGGAACCUUACCCGGGCUUAAAUUGCAGAUGAAUUACGGUGAAAGCCGUAAGCCGCAAGGCAUCUGUGAAGGUGCUGCAUGGUUGUCGUCAGCUCGUGCCGUGAGGUGUCGGCUUAAGUGCCAUAACGAGCGCAACCCUUGUUGUCAGUUACUAACAGGUUCCGCUGAGGACUCUGACAAGACUGCCAUCGUAAGAUGUGAGGAAGGUGGGGAUGACGUCAAAUCAGCACGGCCCUUACGUCCGGGGCUACACACGUGUUACAAUGGGGGGUACAGAGGGCCGCUACCACGCGAGUGGAUGCCAAUCCCCAAAACCUCUCUCAGUUCGGACUGGAGUCUGCAACCCGACUCCACGAAGCUGGAUUCGCUAGUAAUCGCGCAUCAGCCACGGCGCGGUGAAUACGUUCCCGGGCCUUGUACACACCGCCCG